rnacentral:rRNA from 1 species
AUACGACUCUCGGCAACGGAUAUCUCGGCUCUUGCAUCGAUGAAGAACGUAGCGAGAUGCGAUACGUGGUGUGAAUUGCAGAAUCCCGUGAACCAUCGAGUCUUUGAACGCAAGUUGCGCCCGAGGCCACUCGGCCGAGGGCACGCCUGCCUGGGCGUCACGCCCCCGAUCGCUCCCCCGCGGCAUGGCCUGCCCCGGGGAGGCGGAGACUGGCCGCCCGUGCGCCACUCGAAGGCGAGCGGUCGGCCCAAAUGCAGGUCGAAGUGCGGUGCGGCGCGACGCGUGGUGGUUUAGAGCCGCGAUCGAUCGCGAAUCGGACGCAGUGCCUAUGUCACGCCGCACCCGUGCGACCCGUGGGACGCAGCUUGCCAGUUUCGGAGGGCACUCGGACCGCGACCCCAGGUCAGGCGGGACCACCCGCUGAGUUUAAGCAUAUCAAUAAGCGGAGGAGAAGAAACUUACGAGGAUUCCCCUAGUAACGGCGAGCGAACCGGGAGG